rnacentral:ncRNA from 1 species
UGGAACGGCUGCGGGUAUCCUGUCUGCACCUCAUGUCCCUAUGGACUGACGUACAGAAGGAUUGAGAUUACACCGCUUGAACCUGAUCAGCGCUGAUACCUGCGUAGGGAAGCCUCCAGAGUUAUCG